UGUAGAGAUCCAUGCCAUGUUGAUACAGCUAAUGACGAGUUAAUGAUACCCCCAAACCUUCAUUAGCUUAAUGAUGGAUUAAUGAAGGGAUUCCUUUAUAAAGGGUUUCAUGCAACUGAAGAUAAUCAAUGAUUAACUAAUCAUAGUUUAAUUAACGAUUAAAGCUUUAUUAAAGUUUGAUACAACCGGGUCAUGGCAUUAUUGUUUAAUAUCGAUUUC